AUACUUCAUGGCAGGGGGGAACCAUGAUCACAAAGAUGGUCUCCUCUAGAUAAGGUUUAUCGAUUGCAUUCCUCUAGAUGUGUUGACCCCAUUGAUUUUUCCAAAUGUGGGGAACUCCAGUGAAUCAUUUGUGGUAGUGUGGAACUAUGCUUGUGCUCUCCCCU
rnacentral:snRNA from 1 species